GUAAGGAAUAUUGGUCAAUGGGGGCAACCCUGAACCAGCCAUGCCGCGUGAAGGAUGAAGGCGUUAUGCGUUGUAAACUUCUUUUGUAUGGGAAGAAUGACAGGGAUUCAUCCUUGGAGAGACGGUACCAUACGAAUAAGCACCGGCUAACUCCGUGCCAGCAGCCGCGGUAAUACGGAGGGUGCAAGCGUUAUCCGGAUUCACUGGGUUUAAAGGGUGUGUAGGCGGGCUUGUAAGUCAGGGGUGAAAUCCUACAGCUUAACUGUAGAACUGCCUUUGAUACUAUAGGUCUUGAAUAUUGUUGAGGUGGGCGGAAUACAUCAUGUAGCGGUGAAAUGCUUAGAUAUGAUGUAGAACACCGAUUGCGAAGGCAGCUCACUAAGCAAAUAUUGACGCUGAGGCACGAAAGCGUGGGGAUCAAACAGGAUUAGAUACCCUAGUAGUCC
rnacentral:rRNA from 1 species